CCUACGGGAGGCAGCAGUAGGGAAUCUUCCGCAAUGGACGAAAGUCUGACGGAGCAACGCCGCGUGAGUGAUGAAGGCUUUCGGGUCGUAAAACUCUGUUGUUAGGGAAGAACAAGUACGAGAGUAACUGCUCGUACCUUGACGGUACCUAACCAGAAAGCCACGGCUAACUACGUGCCAGCAGCCGCGGUAAUACGUAGGUGGCAAGCGUUAUCCGGAAUUAUUGGGCGUAAAGCGCGCGCAGGCGGUUUCUUAAGUCUGAUGUGAAAGCCCACGGCUCAACCGUGGAGGGUCAUUGGAAACUGGGGAACUUGAGUGCAGAAGAGAAAAGCGGAAUUCCACGUGUAGCGGUGAAAUGCGUAGAGAUGUGGAGGAACACCAGUGGCGAAGGCGGCUUUUUGGUCUGUAACUGACGCUGAGGCGCGAAAGCGUGGGGAGCAAACAGGAUUAGAUACCCUGGUAGUCCACGCCGUAAACGAUGAGUGCUAAGUGUUAGAGGGUUUCCGCCCUUUAGUGCUGCAGCUAACGCAUUAAGCACUCCGCCUGGGGAGUACGGUCGCAAGACUGAAACUCAAAGGAAUUGACGG
rnacentral:rRNA from 1 species